UACGUAGGGGGCUAGCGUUGUCCGGAUUUAUUGGGCGUAAAGAGCGUUUAGGCGGCCAGGUAGGUCUGGUGUGAAAACUCGAGGCUUAACCUCGAGAUGUCAUCGGAAACCAUUUGGCUAGAGUCCGGAAGAGGAGAGUGGAAUUCCUGGUGUAGCGGUGAAAUGCGCAGAUAUCAGGAAGAACACCAAUGGCGAAAGCAGCUCUCUGGGACGGUACUGACGCUGAGACGCGAAAGCGUGGGGAGCGAACAGG
rnacentral:rRNA from 1 species